CCACGUAGAGACUUGCUGGCUCCAGGGACCCCAGCCUCGCUCUGUGGCAGGGAACGAGCCUGGCACAGCGCGGGCCAGGAGGGAAGAGCGUGCUGCUGCGUCUCAGGGCUCCUGCCUGGCGAUAGCAAGUUUCGGCUUGCUCACAGAAGUAUGCGCUGGGCGAGAGACGGAUAGGCAGAGCAAGAGGGCAAUCGCAACGCGAGGCGCCAAGAUGAGAAUCUUUGGUUCAGACGGAGCCCCGGCUGCUAUUACUCCAUUUACCAUUCCGAGAUUUAUCACAGGAUUCAGAGGACUUGGACAGCAGGUUUUACCUAUGUGUCCCRCACCAACCGUAUCAGAGAAGACCUUGUUCUGGCUACAAGAUGGGUGAGUUCAAAGUGAUGAUUGUUCCUGCAAGAACUUGCUCUGCUAACAUGGAGGCCCAGAUUUGAGCCAAACUCUUUGCUUGACUCAUGAAUGGUAAUUUAGAUUAAGCAAACUGUCCAGCCCUUUAAACACUUUCGUGAUAUAAAUAAAGAACAAAUAUCUUGCA
rnacentral:lncRNA from 1 species